ensembl:lncRNA
CUAAUUUAUCCUUGUUCAACUUAAAUCUAGAGGGACAUCCUGGCACCAGCCAAGGCCAGCAAGUAGCUGUGACUGGCACUGCUACCUCAAGAGUUAAAGGCUUAGCUGCCCAGGACCCCUCAGAAACACAACCACCAUUUUCCUCUCCCUUUGCUGUGGUAGUCAGUUGUACUUUGAAUUUGCCCUUCACAGAAGCUCCAUCAGCAAAAGACAACUGGAAAAUAAAAUGGACAUGGCCCCAUCUGCCCAGGAGCUCUGAAACUACUGCAGCCAACAUGUGCCCAUGCCAGGAGAUAUCUCUGCAUGCUGAAGAUGACAGAAUGAAAAGAUGGUGACCUCUCAGUCUUUGAGGAGAUUAAAAGGCUAAGAAUUAAUUCUAGGUCUGCUCUAUCUGUAGACUUUCUAUUAUAUGAGAUACUAAGUAUCAUUAUUUAAGCCACUUCUAAUUGCAUAUUGUGUUUCUUACAAUAAACAGUUUUCUGCAACUGACAACCUUUCUGGGUGGUACCUAGCCUCCAGAAAGGCCCCAAUGAUCCUUACCUCCUGGUAUUCAUGUCUUUGUAUAAUCCCCUUCUACAUUGAAUCCAGGCUUGCUUUUGUGACCGGGAGAAUAUGGUGGAAAUAUAAGUGUGACUUCCAAGUCUGCUUUAUAAAGACAUUGCAACUUCUGCCUUGAUCACUCUUGGAUAACUUGCUCUGGAAUCAGCCAGCUACCAUGUCAUGAGGACACCAGACGGGCUUGUGAAGAAGCCUUCUUGGAGAAGAGUCAACUGGCCAGUACCAACUUGCCAGCAUGUGAGUGUGUG